UAGUACAACUAUGAAAAAUACGAAAAUAUCCAUUUAAAUUUCGAAUAUAAAAAUAUUAUCUCGCACAACUAUAUUCUAUCUUGUACUAUGUUAUUUUAUUUUGUACUAUUCUGUCUAGUAUGUACUGUUUUGCAAAUUAAACGCACCUAUGUAUAAAAGCUUAGCCCAUAACAUGUGUACACACAUUAAUUAUAAGUAGUUGGAGUAAAAAUACAAAUAACUCUCUUUGAAGACUUCUGGUGGAUCGCAUGCUCGUCAAUCAUUCCUGCAACUUAUAUGGUUAUUUUUUAUUUGGGUAGUGUAGAAUUAGCGGAAUAAUAGAAUUUUCAAGUGAAGGAAAAUAGAAUUCACCGGAUGCUAGAUAAAAUCAAAACACAUUCGUUAUGGUGGCUGCAAGCCUAUCAUGUUAAUCUUGCUGUAAACAUGUGGUGGAUGAGCCCUCUUAAUUGUUUGGGUGCUCGUUAAAUCAUAUUGAUUUCAUGUUUUUGGUUGUAUGAUGACUAUGUAAACUUUUGAGAUUCUUUCCGGUAAGAAUGCUUCGCUGGUAUUUGAUAAAAUUCAUUUUUUCUUGUUAAAAGAAACUCGAAGAAUUCAUCAUCGAUGCUUUGGUGUUUUCUCAUACCCUGACUUUUAGCAUACAUAUAAAUACUAAUACAAAUUACCUAAUAUUAACUCCUAAUAAACACACUUGACUUUUUGUCAAAAAAAACACACACUUGGCUUCAUCGCCAAUAUUUCUAAAUUGCAAAAAUAUAACAAUUCCUAACUACUGAUUUAGGCUCUGUUUGGUAAAAAUAAGAUAUAAGCUAGCUGAUAGCUGAUAAGCUAGCUUAUAGCUGAAAAGCUAGCUUAUAGCUGAUAGCUGAUGGCUGGUAGCUUAUAGCUGAAAAACUAGUAGAAUAAAAUUAAAGUGUUUGGCAAAUUUAGCUGUUGUAAGUACAAAAUGACAUAAAAAUACAUGGUUAGUGGGUAGUUUUUUUUUUGGGUAAGUGUUUGUGGGUAGUUGUUAUAAUUUUUAAAAAAUAAAUAAAUAAAAUUAAUGAGGGUAAAUAUGGAAUAAAAUGAAAAAGCUAUAAGCUAUAAGCUCAUACGCUACUUGAAAUAGCAUCUCAAAAAACGCUAUAAGCUAGUUAGAGAAGCUCGUUACCAAACACUUCACAUUUUU
rnacentral:lncRNA from 1 species